rnacentral:rRNA from 1 species
GUGGGGAAUUUUGGACAAUGGGCGCAAGCCUGAUCCAGCAAUGCCGCGUGUGUGAAGAAGGCCUUCGGGUUGUAAAGCACUUUUGGCAGGAAAGAAAUAGUGCGUGCUAAUACCAUGCGCGAAUGACGGUACCUGCAGAAUAAGCACCGGCUAACUACGUGCCAGCAGCCGCGGUAAGACGUAGGGUGCAAGCGUUAAUCGGAAUUACUGGGCGUAAAGCGUGCGCAGGCGGUUUUGUAAGACAGGUGUGAAAUCCCCGGGCUCAACCUGGGAACUGCACUUGUGACUGCAAGGCUAGAGUGUGUCAGAGGGAGGUGGAAUUCCGCGUGUAGCAGUGAAAUGCGUAGAGAUGCGGAGGAACACCGAUGGCGAAGGCAGCCCCCUGGGAUGACACUGACGCUCAUGCACGAAAGCGUGGGGAGCAAACAGGAUUAGAAACCCUUGUAGUCC